rnacentral:rRNA from 1 species
GACGAACCGUGCAAACGUUGUUCGGAAUCACUGGGCUUAAAGGGCGCGUAGGCGGGCCAGCCAGUCUGUGGUGAAAGCCUCCAGCUUAACUGGAGAAGUGCCGUGGAUACUGCUGGCCUCGAGGAGGAUAGGGGCAUCUGGAACGGUCGGUGGAGCGGUGAAAUGGCGUUGAUAUCGACCGGAACUCCGGUGGCGAAGGCGAGGUGCUGGGUCCUUUCUGACGCUGACGCGCGAAAGCCAGGGGAGCAAAGCGGG